AGUGAACGCUGGCGGUAGGCCUAACACAUGCAAGUCGAACGGCAGCACAGUAAGAGCUUGCUCUUACGGGUGGCGAGUGGCGGACGGGUGAGGAAUACAUCGGAAUCUACUUUUUCGUGGGGGAUAACGUAGGGAAACUUACGCUAAUACCGCAUACGACCUACGGGUGAAAGCAGGGGAUCUUCGUACCUUGCGCGAUUGAAUGCGCCGAUGUCGGAUUAGCUAGUUGGCGGGGUAAAGGCCCACCAAGGCGACGAUCCGUAGCUGGUCUGAGAGGAUGAUCAGCCACACUGGAACUGAGACACGGUCCAGACUCCUACGGGAGGCAGCAGUGGGGAAUAUUGGACAAUGGGCGCAAGCCUGAUCCAGCCAUACCGCGUGGGUGAAGAAGGCCUUCGGGUUGUAAAGCCCUUUUGUUGGGAAAGAAAAGCAGCAGGUUAAUACCCCGCUGUUCUGACGGUACCCAAAGAAUAAGCACCGGCUAACUUCGUG
rnacentral:rRNA from 1 species